GAGGGCAUAGCUCAGUGGUAGAGCACAUGCUUAGCGUGCACGAGGUCCUGGGUUCAAUCCCCAGUACCGCUG
rnacentral:tRNA from 1 species